CAAUAUUUCUUGGCCCACUAUUGGCCAAACCACCUGUGCGCUAGGUCCAAUGUGAGUAGGAUCGCUUAGCCAGGCUUCAUAAUUGGAAAAACGAGCACCGUGGAAAUACAUUCCGCUCAGCCAAAGAAAAAUGAUGGAGAGUUGUCCGAAAUGGGCACUAAAUACUUUUCGAGAGAUCUCCUCCAAAUCACUGGUAUGGCUAUCGAAGUCGUGAGCAUCAGCAUGUAGGUUCCAGAUCCAAGUGGUAGUCUCAGGUCCCUUAGCUAUGGUUCUUGAGAAAUGCCCCGGUUUGGCCCAUUCCUCGAAAGAAGUUUUUACGGGAUCCCUAUCUACCAAAAUUUUUACUUCUGGUUCCGGCGAACGAAUAAUCAUUGAGUCCUCCUCUUUCCGGACAACACAUACAAAGAAACCCGCCAACAGUCAGUCCAGUGAUUAGUGAACCUAUGAGAGAUGCUUAGAAUUAGUUUCUUUCUCUUCUACUUCUAUCUCCCAUCUAUUUAUUUUCUUUAGUUAUUCACUAGAGCAAUUAUGUCUGGAAGUCGAUCCAGGGCAAGUGUUCGGAUCUAUUAUGACAUAUCCAGGAGGCGCUCAACGGACCUUUUGAAUCUUUUUUAAUCUUAUAAAACCCUUUACGGGCUUAAAAUUUGUCAAAAACCCUUUUUUUGUACAACCUUAGUGUAUUCAUAUCUCAAUUAGAAGUCCCGAAAUGCAGCUGCUACUUUAAUGGCGUAUAUAGAACAUAUUACUUUAUUCCAAGCAGUCAUUAGUAAUUACUAGGAUAAGAGACAUUCCUGCGAGGGGUCUCUUUUAUUAAUUUGAAUAGAAUAGGAGAAAAAUACAUUUUCUACCGUAUCCCUGUAUCGUUUAUCCUUAUGAAAUACCAGACGAAAUAGAACGAUCUUAGAAAGGAUAUAAUGAAAUUCCUUGAUUGUUUCUUACCAGAUAAAUGAUCCCUUUUAUAUUCCACUGAUAGGGCUAACAGACAAUUAAUUUUUAAUUAUACCAAACGAAAAUAGAUAUCGAAAUUCUAAAGAAAUAAAAUUCUAAAUAAAUAAACAGAGAGUUUCUUAUUCGAAACGUCCCGUGAUCUUCAACCAAUUCUGCGCUUGAAUAUAAUUACCAGGAGUAAGCGCAAUAGCUUGUUUCCAAUACUCGGCAGCUUGAUUGAACCAAGCCUCCGCAAUUUCAGAAUCUCCCUGUCGAACGGCCUGUUCCCCCCGGUCGGAAUAGGUGGUUCAAUUCCUUUCCUUAGAACCGUACUUGAGAGUUUCCCGCCUCAUACGGCUCGGCAAUCAAUUCUUUUGGUGUCCCGGGUUUUUGAAUCUAGUAUAUCGAAUUGAAUGAGAUUUCUCAUAGAUCGAUCUUUAUCUUUAUUCUUUUUUUUGGGGGGUUAACCAAAAGAGGUUAAUUCCAUGAGCAUGAGUUUCAAACUUGACUUUUGAUUAAAUUAAUAAUCAGCUUGCUUUCAUUUUAUCUUUUCUCCCACCGUCAGAAGAAUAACAUAGAAGCAUUUCCACUAUAGUUAGAAUUUUCUGAAAGGUAUCUAUCUCGGUUUCAUAUAAAAAUUGAUAUAGAAUCUUUGAAAAAGCCCUUUCUUCCUAAGAAAGAAAAGGCUUACUGUCUUUGGGAUCUGAUGCUACACCGCUGCUCAAUACCUUAGGGGAUCGACUUUAUUACAUAAGUGGAUUCCUUACUUUUAUCUCAUAUCAUGACAUAAAUAAGCAGUUCUUAUUGGAUCGGCAUCGGCCCAAAACCUCGCGAAUUGAUCUUUACGGUGCUUCCUCUAUCAAUUAGAUCCUUUAUCCAUAGAAUAAACUAUCUAGGCAUAUCGAUUUCUUCAUAUUUCGACUUCUAUGAAGUUUCUUUCUUUGCUACAGCUGAUAAAAAUCGUUUUUGCACGAUGCAUAUGUAGAAAGCCUAUUUUUUUUUUUCGAGUAUUUAUUAGUGUAUUUGCUCUUUACCCCCCCUCCUUUUUUUUUUUUCUUUUACUUUUUUCUUUCUAUAGUAGAGAUAGUCGCACGUAAUGACAGAUCACAGCCAUAUUAUUAAAAGCUUGUGGUAAGAACGGAUUUCGUUCUAGUGCCCGAAAAUAAUAUUCUAAAGCUUUUGUAUGUUCUCCGUUACUUGUGUGGAUAAGGCCUAUGUUAUAGAGUAUAUAGCUUCGAUCGUAAGGAUCAAUUUCUAGUCGCAUAGCUUCAUAAUAAUUCUGUAAAGCUUCCGCAUAAUUGCCUUCAGAUUGAGCUGACAUCCGUUACGGUCGUCAUUCGAUUCAAAGAAUUCUCCGUUUCAAAACCGUACAUGAGAUGAAAAUCUCAUACGGCUCCUCCUUUAUGUGCAUUAUGAGAAUAAUCCAUGAAAUCAAAAAAGAUUGAAAUAUUCUCAUUAUGAACUAAGUGGGGCUAAUGUUUUUACAAGAAAUCUCUAGCCAACCUUCCUGCAAAAGCUUUUUUCUUAAUAUCACGCGUGUUGGUACUAGAUAAAACCGGAAACUCCAACAAUUUCUUUGUUCUCAACGCCCCUUAAUUUACAGGAAUUAAUCACUUCAACAGUCUUCGAUGGUUAUACGGGUAUCCACAGUACGAACGAGAUGGAUGUUUGUUAUCCCAACCAUUCUUCUUAGUCCCGAUCCCGCUAAGGAAAGGGGGCAGUUUAUAACAAAGUUUUCGUGUUGCUGAUUCCUAGACGUAGCGCCUCUUCCCCUAUGCCGCCUAUUGGUACUGGUGUAGUAGGGUUGACUUGCAAUACAGAACCCAUAGGUGUAACCUUUCGCUCAAUACUAGAAUCGACAAUUGAAGCAUCUGAGGCUGCAUUAAUCGGGGAUACACGACAGAAGGAAUGGUUUUAUCUAUAAACUUCACCUUCAACAAGCGUAGAUUUUUUCAAUAAUCUUUUUUUUUUUUUUUUCUAUCCCGAAUUGUCUUUCUUUCUUCUAAGACCGAAAGGGGUAAAUAAAAAACUAAUCAAAUCGCACCAUCUCUGUAAUAGGUAAAUGCCUCUUUUUCUCCUACAGUUGUCGGAAUUAUUCGUAAUAAUAUAUUGGCUACAAUCGAAAAGGUCUUAUCAAUAAAAUUUCCGUUUAUCCGCGAUCUAGGCAUAGGUAAAAAUCCAUUCUAUAAUUCGUUUCAUUACCUCUUGUGAGAAAAUGAUCCCACAAACAAAGGAAUUGUACAGUACAAAAUAACAUAAAAGCAGACGUGUUAAAAAAAAUAAAAAAAAAAAAAUAGACCGAUCCGUUGAUUCGUUCCAACUCAUUGAUUAAAUCAGGUAGAAAUAUCAGAAAAAAAAAAAAAAAGGAGCGCCAUCUUUGCAAACAAGAUAUAUAGCCUUAUUGUUUUUUGUUUUGAACAGUUUUUCACAAACAAAAAAGUUAUCCUUUUCCCCAGACUCAAAGGAAGAAUUUUUUCUUUGCUGAAAGGGUUUCUAUUUUUCUAGUUAGAACGGAUUCGAUUGUCCGUACCCAUCUACCAAUCGAAUUUGAACAACUCGCUAUUCACGCGGGUUCUCGGUCAUAAUCAUUGUGUAGGAGAGAUGGCCGAGUGGUUCAAGGCGUAGCAUUGGAACUGCUAUGUAGACUUUUGUUUACCGGGGGUUCGAAUCCCUCUCUUUCCGUACCUUGAACUAAUUCAUCAAUGUUACUGACCGGAAUGUAUCCAAGCAAAAAAGAAUGAAUACCGAAGCAGUCAGACCUUUUUUUGAGCUAGAUUCUCAAUUCCUACGGGAAAGAAAGGGAAGGGGCAGGCAGGGGAUAAAAAUCUACCCUCGGAUCUAUGAUACAUGAAUGGGAUAAAAAAAAACUCCACGGAUCAAACUCCUUACCUUGUAUCCCUUUCCUUAAGUUAGGUGAAAGGGUAAAUUUGUACGAGCCCGUUAUUUUAGUUAGGUUUAAGUUUGACGAGAAUAAUAUUCUACGACAAGCAAUUCAUUUAUUUUCAAACCGACCCAUUGACUAUCUAUUAUUUGAUUGACUAAUCCUUUAUAUUGGAAUGCGCGAAGAGUCAAAUGCUUUGGCAAUUCCUCAUGGUGGGAUGAAUCAAGAUAAUUUUGAACCAGAGAUCUAGAUUUUGGGUCAUCCCUUACUGUAAUAAUAUCUCGGGGUUUGCAACGAUAACUUGGUAUAUCGACUAUACGACCAUUAACUAAAAUAUGUCGAUGGUUAACCAAUUGGCGGGCUUGAGGAAUAGUUGAAGCCAUACCCAAUCGAAAAAGAAUGUUAUCCAAACGCAUUUCAAGUAAUUGUAGUAAAACCAGACCGGUUGACCCUUUGGCUUUUCUGGCGAUACGAACAUAUUAAGUAAUUGUCGUUCUGUAAGACCAUAAUGAAAACGCAAUUUUUGUUUUUCUUCUAAACGAAUUCGAUAUUGAGAUUUUUUUACGGAGCGCAAUUGGUUUCUAAAAUCGCUUCCGGCUCUAGGCCUUUUACUCGUUAGUCCCGGCAAAGCCCCCAGACGGCGUAUUUUUUUGAAACGAGGCCCUCGGUAACGUGACAUAAAGACUCCUUAUUUUAUUGAAUUUCAUAAACCUAAAUUAAAACUGAGCUACAUGAUAAAUGAAGCAAAAUCCGCUGAAGUAUUGUACUACAAAGAAUACUAAGAUGAUUUGUAUCAAAUUCCAGACCCCUUUUUGUAUUGUAUACGCAUAUAGAAAUAUAAAUCAAAAGAGGGUUCCUUUUCUUGAUUUAUUCUGCCGAAAUCGAACUUCCUCCCACUUUUAUUCAUAAUUGGAAGCUCCUACAACAUACUGGAUCGAUGAUCCUUGGAAGAAGCCUUUUCAAUGUUCUUUUCUUUCAAAAAGACAUUAUCAAUCAUGUAAAAAAUCAAACAAAUAGAGAAAAGCCGGCUAUCGGAAUCGAACCGAUGACCAUCGCAUUACAAAUGCGAUGCUCUAACCUCUGAGCUAAGCGGGCUUAAAUAAGAGAAAUUGUACAUGCGUAGGGAUCCUAGGAUCUUAUCUAUUAACCUUUUAUUCUUAGCUAUUCAUAAAGAAUAAAAUAGAGAAUCGAA
rnacentral:lncRNA from 1 species